UACAGAGGUCUCAAGCGUUGUUCGGAUUCAUUGGGCGUAAAGGGUGUGUAGGUGGCGCCGUAAGUCGGGUGUGAAAUUUCGGAGCUUAACUCCGAAACUGCAUUCGAUACUGCGGUGCUUGAGGACUGGAGAGGAGACUGGAAUUCAUGGUGUAGCAGUGAAAUGCGUAGAGAUCAUGAGGAAGACCAGUGGCGAAGGCGGGUCUCUGGACAGUUCCUGACACUGAGACACGGAAGGCCAGGGGAGCAAACAGG
rnacentral:rRNA from 1 species